rnacentral:rRNA from 1 species
CUGUGUCCUUCGACGCCGGUUCACCGCCUGCCGGUGCCAACUGGCGUUUUGCGGGACGUCCUGUCGGUGGUGUGUCAGGAAUCUUAGUUGUGCUUUGCUUUGCUUAGUGCAGCUCUGGUUUCGGGCCACUUUCAUAAUCCCGCCGCGGUGCUCUUAAUCGAGUGUCGAGGCGGGCCGGCACGUUUACUUUGAACAAAUUAGAGUGCUUCAAGCAGGCUUGUCACGCCUAUAUACUGUGUGCAUGGAAUAAUGGAAUAGGACCUCGGUUCUAUUUUGUUGGUUUUCGGAAUCUGAGGUAAUGAUCAAUGGGGACAGGCGGGGGCAUUCGUAUUGCGACGUUAGAGGUGAAAUUCUUGGAUCGUCGCAAGACGGACCGAAGCGAAAGCAUUUGCCAAGUAUGUUCCCGUCGAUCAAGAACGAAAGUUAGAGGUUCGAAGGCGAUCAGAUACCGCCCUAGUUCUAACCAUAAACAAUGCCUGCCAGCGAUCCGCCGGCGUCCCUCCGAUGACCCGGCGGGCAGCUUCCGGGAAACCAGAGCUUUUGGGUUCCGGGGGAAGUAUGGUUGCAAAGCUGAAACUUAAAGGAAUUGACGGAAGGGCACCACCAGGAGUGGAGCCUGCGGCUUAAUUUGACUCAACACGGGAAAACUCACCAGGCCCGGACACCGGAAGGAUUGACAGAUUGAUAGCUCUUUCUUGAUUCGGUGGGUGGUGGUGCAUGGCCGUUCUUAGUUGGUGGAGCGAUUUGUCUGGUUAAUUCCGAUAACGAACGAGACUCUAGCCUACUAAAUAGACGUAUCUGGUAUCAGCAAUCGUGCUACCAGCGAUCAUAUCUCUUCUUAGAGGGACAGGCGGCUUCUAGCCGCACGAGACUGAGCAAUAACAGGUCUGUGAUGCCCUUAGAUGUCCUGGGCCGCACGCGCGCUACACUGAAGGAAUCAGCGUGUCUUCCCUGUCCGAAAGGACCGGGUAACCCGCUGAACCUCCUUCGUGCUUGGGAUUGGGGCUUGCAAUUGUUCCCCAUGAACGAGGAAUUCCCAGUAAGCGCGAGUCAUAAGCUCGCGUUGAUUACGUCCCUGCCCUUUGUACACACCGCCCGUCGCUACUACCGAUUGAAUGAUUUAGUGAGGUCUUCGGACCGGUGCGCGGAGGCGGUUUUCCGCUCCCGAUGUUGUUGGAAAGAUGACCAAACUUGAUCAUU